CAGAUAUUUGCUAUACAGCUGCUUUCUCACUUGUGUAUCCAGUAUGCAUUACCGAAGUCACUAAGUGUGGCUCGCUUAGCUGUCAAUGUCAUGGGGACUUUGCUAACAGUUCUAACACAAGCUAAGCGGCAUUCUUUUUUCAUGCCGACUCUUCCAAGUUUGGUCUCCUUUUGCCGAGCAUUUCCUCCACUGUAUGAGGAUGUUAUGUCUUUGCUCGUUCAAAUAGGACAAGUGUGUGCCUCUGAUGUUGCCACUCAGACAAGAGACAUUGAUCCGAUCAUUACCCGUCUUCAACAAAUAAAGGAGAAACCUAGCGGAUGGUCUCAAAUUUAUAAAGAUGCAUCUUACAAACAUGGAUCCAGGGACACUGGAAGCAUGGAUCCUGAUGUCCAGCUCUGUCAUUGUAUUGAAAGCACAGUAAUUGAAAUAAUAAACAUGAGUGUUAGUGGGAUUUAAAAAAAGACAGGUUUUAAAUGCAGCCAUUUGCUGCAUAUACUGAACAGGAUUCUGGACUUUAUGAGAACUCUAAACUGAAUGAGAACAGUGAGAUCUUGGAAUUGCUGAAGUGAUUCAGUUCAGCAGAGUAUAAUUUAGAACUCUCUGAGAAUUUACUUGUUUGUUUGAUUGGCAUAUCUUUGGAUCUGCUCUGAUGGUAUGUUUAUAUUGAAGCAGCUGAACUUCUUUUCCAUUGGGCACACUUUAAGAAACUUGUCCCUGGUUCAUGUUCUCAGCUGUUUGACGUGAAGACAGUGCCAGGCUUUUCAUUUAAUCUCUUAAAAACGAGCCUGUGGAUAGCCCUCAUAUUUGUGAGCUUUUAACAAUUUCAACAGAGAGGAGAGGAAGGAGAAAGAGGGAUGAAGGGCAGGAAUAAUUUAGAAAAAAAUACCACUUAAGUACGUAGAAAUCAUACAGACUUGUAAUGCAAGAAACAGUAUUACAGGUUGAAGUUCUAAUUUGUUAAAAAUAAUAGUAAGAUGGCUUAAAGGAAAAAAAAAAAGGCAGUUAAGCCAGGUGUAGCAGAGCAUGCCUUAAAUCCCAGCCUGAGGGAGAAAGGGAGCAAGUAGAUCUCUGUCCCAGGCCAGCCUGCUUUACAUAGUGAGUUCCAGGAAAGUCAGAGCUACAUAGUGAGACCCUGUCCAAAAACAAUAAGUAAAUAAACUAUUAAAUGACUGCCUUGGAAUUACAGAUGAAGAUAGAAGGAUUUCACAAAUCUGCUUCAACUUUUCCUAAUAUAUGAAGCCAUAUGUUUAAAGAGAUACUUGAAUAAUUUGAAAUUUUAAGAUACUGAUUAUAGUUACAGAAACAUCUUUGUUUUGUGCAAAGAAGAACCUGAAGUGAAUUUCAUUUAUUCUUUUUAAAAUUUAUUUUUAUAAUACUCUAUUAUCUAAUUCUCAGAGGAGCAGACAUGUAUCCAAUUAAAUGAACUUUAGAGCAACAACCUCAACUGUGCUCUCGGUUCGUCGCCAGGAUUGUAAUUCACAUUUUACUCUGAGGAGAAUUUGUAAGAAAAUACAGUGUUUGAACCUCAGGAAAACGAUAGUGUGGUAAAUGCUGUGUUGCUGACUUUUGCAGCCCUCUGUUAGGAGCUUCACGAUGAAGGAGAUGCAUUCAGAUAACCAUAAUC
rnacentral:lncRNA from 1 species